UUGCUUGCAUUAAACGUAUAAACUGUUAAAUUAGAUGGCGACUCUGCAUUAAACGUAUUUAUUUAAUUAAUCGGCGAUCAUAUUUUACCAGAGGACUAAGAUAAAACAACUCGAUUUAAAAUGUGAGCAGUUUUAGUGGAUCUGACGUCGAGGGAAAAAGUAUUUCGCUUUUUGUUUGGAGAUGAACGAGACAACACGAGAGGGUAAGUUAUGACAGAUUUUCGCAUUCCUUUAUUUAGUUUACUAUUAAAUAAGUAAAACAUUACAGUUGUCCUUAUUUUAACCCAGCUUCUUUAUGUAACGUUAUGUCUGUGUUGCGUGUGGUAAUUGGAACAUCUUUAUUUUCUGACUAACGUUAGGCAUUUCUCUUAAGCAUUUCAGAAAUCAUUAAAACCUUUCAUUUUUUUAGCACAGCGACAUAAAUAUGACCAACCAGAUCCCAAGUAGACAGGAACAAAUGAAGAUACAGCGCAUAGAAAGACUUAUUCUUGGUGAUCAACUGCUAUUGACAUUUUUUGAAUCUGGGCAAAUGUGGAGUGA